GCCUCCUUAGCUCAGGGGUUAGAGCACUGGUCUCGUAAACCAGGGGUCGUGAGUUCAAUUCUCACAGGAGGCA
rnacentral:tRNA from 1 species